UGUGGUAGUUCAGUUGGUUAGAAUAUCGGCCUGUCACGCCGGGGGUCGCGGGUUCGAGUCCCGUCCACA
rnacentral:tRNA from 1 species